CAGUAGCCGCGGGAAUACGUAGGGUGCGAGCGUUAAUCGGAAUUACUGGGCGUAAAGCGUGCGCAGGCGGUUAUAUAAGACAGAUGUGAAAUCCCCGGGCUCAACCUGGGACCUGCAUUUGUGACUGUAUAGCUAGAGUACGGUAGAGGGGGAUGGAAUUCCGCGUGUAGCAGUGAAAUGCGUAGAUAUGCGGAGGAACACCGAUGGCGAAGGCAAUCCCCUGGACCUGUACUGACGCUCAUGCUCGAAAGCGUGGGGAGCAAACAGGAUUAGAGACCCGCGUAGUCCCUGUCUCUUAUCC
rnacentral:rRNA from 1 species